CUUCUUUUUUCUCCAGACACAGCACUCGGCUCCACCUCUGCCUUUAGGAACUGGGGUAAUGUCGGACACGGAGGGACAGAGAGAAAAGCUACUCUAUGGGGAUUCAGUUGUUUUCUGAAUCUACUUGAGGGAGAACGGAGACCGGAAUGUCCCUGUGGAGACCUCUGCUGAAGCUAGUACCUGGCAAAGCUGGGCUCUGAACAUCAAGGAUGAUCACCCAAGAGGAAAUGGCACCUGCUGUACGCUGCUUUGACAUCUGCACAUCUGAGGUUUUUUGGUAGUUUUAUUUUUAGCCCUACAUGGAUUCAAAAUGCCACUGUGGAGAAGCUGUGAGCUCCGCAGUGUUUUAGCCAAGCAAAGUCUCUCUGAAACAGAACUGAGGGAGCAUGUGGCUGAGGACUGAGGGUGGUGCUCUGCACUAGAAGAUGUCUCACGUGUCCUUCAAACUUCAAAGCCGAGCCCUCAUCCAGGUUCCCGGUUUAACAGCAUGCUUCUCAUUUCGCCCCCCACAUCAAAUCUCCCAGUGCUCUUACUAUCAGAGUACUUUUUCAGGGUUAGAAACCCUGACUUCUUGAUUGUUUUCCUGAAUUCAAUGAGAUGGGCUGGACACUAGUAGGAGGGGCUCUCAAGACUGUCUGGGAUGCUGCCACAAGGUGGAUGUCCCCUGCCUUUCUAAGUCACCAAUGAAGAGUGGGCUCACUGAAGGGCAGGGGCUGUGCUAAGCUCAGGGCACUGGUGAGUGAGUGAGCAAAUGGCACAUCACAUUCAUUCAAUCAAUUCUCCAGCGGAGGCCUACUGAGUACCAGUUGCUGUGCUAAACUCGUCACUUCAUUUAAUGGGACAAAGUGUCACUCAACUCCUACUGUGCACCAGGCUUUGCAAGGCUCUGGGAAUAAAGAAUGAAUGAGAUGGACAA